rnacentral:lncRNA from 1 species
UUUUUGUGUAUAUCUUCAUUUGUAAAGGAAAUGCAUCAAACAUUCAUUAAAAUCAACAAAAAUGUGAAAACAAUAGAAUGGAUCAGUGCAAAUAACUUCUUUUAACCGAGAGAAUGCAUAAAUUAGGCUAGUUAUACCCCCGACACUGUCGGAGGCACAACAUCACAAGUCGGAGGCCUGAGAUUUACAGACUACUCCGUUUAAACGUACCGUUUCCAUUUUUUGUGAUGUUGUUGGGUUAAUUCUUACUAAAUAUCUAUCUAGAUUAACACAAAUUCCACAUUUCUGUCCAUAUUUCCUAUUUUUCGUCACAUUACAGGUGCUCGAGAAAAAUAUUAAUGCAAGCUUCUAAAUGAAGCAGGUAUUUUUUGAUUGGCUAAAUAUUCGGAGAGGGCGGGGCUUAAUACUCGACAGAAAAUCGCCUAAAUCAUAUAAUUUAUCCAUGACUUUUUACAAUUUUUCUAUAAUUACCCUGACUUGGACCAUUCCGCAUCCUAAGGCAACGAUUGCUGCAACGCUGCUUCAUCAAAAGAUGGUGAACUGGACAUUUUUUCUUCUCCAUCAUGGCGGCGUGUACAACGACGCAUGAAUAUUUAAUGAGAUUGAAC